rnacentral:rRNA from 1 species
UACGUAGGGACCGAGCGUUGUCCGGAAUCAUUGGGCGUAAAGAGCGUGUAGGCGGCCUUUUAAGUCUUGCGUGAAAUCUCGGGGCUCAACCCCGAGCGGUCGUGAGAAACUGGCAGGCUAGAGUGCGGGAGAGGAGAGUGGAAUUCCUGGUGUAGCGGUGAAAUGCGCAGAUAUCAGGAAGAACACCCGUGGCGAAGGCGGCUCUCUGGAACGCAACUGACGCUGAGACGCGAAAGCGUGGGGAGCAAACAGG